UUUUUUUUUUUUAAAGGCGUCCUCUCACCGGUUUUAUACGCUUUUGUUUUAAUGUUAUUUUUUUUACUGGAGGGGAACGACGAACGGGGCUUCACUGCGGCUAAUCAAUUUUCCUCUUCCAGACCUGGGAAUUACAAUGAAAAAUGUAGGUGACACAUUUUCUCUCACAAUCCAGGAAUCACAAUAGCGAAGACGGCGAAGAAGAAAGCAGGGGGAAAAUGGUGACGGGUGCCGCAUCUAUAGGAUCAGCAUCCUCUCUGUGGAGCCCCUGCGUAAAAGAAAAACAGUGUGGAAACUGGUGAACAAGUGAAUGUGAACUCGUGAGAGAAAAAGGUGGAUGCCACUUUGGAUCUCAACAGGACCGUCCCUGCACCACAUGGAGGUUUUCUGGGGGGUUUUCUCAGCUGCUCUGAAAGCCGAG